GACGAACGCUGGCGGCGCGCCUAACACAUGCAAGUCGAACGGAGUUGCAUUGAAAGCUUUGCUGGAUAUGUAACUUAGUGGCGGACGGGUGAGUAACACGUGAGUAAUCUGCCUUCCAGAGGGGAAUAACGUUUGGAAACGAACGCUAAUACCGCAUAACGUGCGGUCCUCGCAUGGGGACUGUACCAAAGAUUUUAUCGCUGGAAGAUGAGCUCGCGGCCGAUUAGGUAGUUGGUGAGAUAACAGCCCACCAAGCCGACGAUCGGUAGCCGGACUGAGAGGUUGAUCGGCCACAUUGGACUGAGACACGGCCCAG
rnacentral:rRNA from 1 species